AAAAUUGUAUAAUUAAAAAAUCAGAGUAGUAUUAGUUAAGGUCUUGAAACUUAAAAAAUUUGGCGGUAUUUUAGUCUAUUUAGAGGAACCUGUAGUAUAAUCGAUAAUCCACGAUGGACCUCACUUAAUUUUGUUUUUCAGUUUGUAUACCGCUGUUAUUUGAAAAUUUUAUAAGAAAAAUAAUUUUCAUAAUUUUAUAUAAAAAAGUAAAUCAGGUCAAGGUGCAGCUUAUAAUUAAGAAUUUAUGGGUUACAAUAAAAUUAUUUAAAUGGAUUUAAAUAUGAAAUUAUUUUUUGAAAGUGGAUUUAAUAGUAAAUUUUUAAAGAUAAAAAAAUUGAUU
rnacentral:rRNA from 1 species